CAGCCAGUAGCCCAGUGUAUCUAAGAGCUGUGUCACCAUCCAUUGCCACCAGCUGGCUCUGCUGUCACAUCUGGGCUCUCAUUUGAGUGAUGUCUCACAGAAGCCUGAAAAAUGGAAUUACAAGCGGAGAGGCCAGCAAAGGCAGAAUGCCAGAGAAUCCAGCCAUCAUGCUGUGACGCAGCCCUGUGGAAAGGCCCACAUCUGUGAGCUUGGAAGCUGAUCUUCUGAGGCCUGCCCACAGCCAUGGGAGAGUGGAUAAGCUCAGAAGCUGGCUUUCCCCAAGCCAAGCCUUGAGACGACUGCAGCCCUGGCUGACAUUCUGAUUGCAGUCUUGUGAGAGACUCUGAUCCAGCACCACACAGCCAAGAUGCUCCUUCAUUCCUGACCCUGAGGAACAGUGAGAGUAUACAUUUGUUGUUUCCAGCUUCUAAGUUUUGGGGUAUGCAUUUGUUACAAAGCAAUGGAUAACUAACACAUAUUUUGGGUCCAGCCUGAUAUGGUUUGGAUCUGUGUCCCCACCCAAAUCUCAUAUCUAGUUGUAGUCCCCAGUGUUAGAGUUGGGACCUGGUGGGAGGUGAUUAGAUCAUGGGGGGUGGUUUCUAAUGGUUUAACACCGUCCCCCUUGGAGCAGUCAUCAUGAUGGUGAGUUCUCAUGAGAUCUGGUUGUUUAAAAUGUGUAAUACCCCACACCUCUCUCUUUCUCCUGCUCCAGCCAUGUAAGACAUGCCUGCUUCCUCUUGGCCUUCUGUCUUGAUUGUAACUUUCCUGAGGUCUCCCAAGUCAUGCUUCCUGUACAGCCUGCAGAACUGUGAGCCAAUUAAAUCUGUUUUCUUUAUAAAUUACGCACUUUCAGGUAUUUAUAGCAAUUCACGAACAGACUAAUACACAGGCUUUGCAAAAAUGUGCAUAGCCCAGGAGCACCCCACCCCAAAACAGCCAGUAUAAGACUAACAGGAGCAAGAAAGAGAGGGGUGAGGACAAGGACGGGUGUGAGGAAUCUGGAGGAUUUCUUUGGCCCCUCGGCCAUUCCCUCCUGCUUUCCUUCCCAGGAGGUUGUGGUCUUUCAGAACAAUCAGCCAAGCAGAAAACAGUCUUCUCUGGGUUAAGAUGGCAGCAACAAGUAAUUUAAUACUUAAUCUUGAUUGGAUUAGUAGCAAAGGCAUUGGCUAGUCUCUCUAGCUGAGACGAGGACAGUUUAGCCUGUCUAAAUUAAAUCUCUUCGGCAUCAUUGGUUUGAACAGCCUACUCAUUUUUGCUGCAGAUGCUCUAUACAUUUUUGUUGUUGUUGUUGUU
rnacentral:lncRNA from 1 species